AGCCUUCCGUAUCCGUGCUGACACUUCGUCACACACCAGACCACAAAGGGUUGAUGAGACUUUCAAGAUAAGUGAAGCA
rfam:Schistosoma mattheei strain Denwood, Zambia genome assembly, scaffold: SMTD_contig0005188